UUUUAUUACUGAGACAACGAACAUGCCUGUUUCAUUAAAAAGGGAUGGUUCGUUUCUGAGUAAGGUUU
rnacentral:pre_miRNA from 1 species